rnacentral:tRNA from 1 species
GCAUUGGUGGUUCUGCAGUAGAAUUUCUACCUAUCACGUGGAAGACCCAGGUUUGAUUCCCAGCCAAUGCA